ACGUAGGGGGCAAGCGUUGUCCGGAAUCAUUGGGCGUAAAGAGCGCGUAGGCGGUCCGGUAAGUCGGUUGUGAAAACUGGGGGCUCAACCCUCAGAGGCCGACCGAUACUGUCGGGCUAGAGUCCGGAAGAGGCGAGUGGAAUUCCUGGUGUAGCGGUGAAAUGCGCAGAUAUCAGGAGGAACACCAAUGGCGAAGGCGGCCUUCUGGUCGGAUACUGACGCUAAAACGCGAAAGCGUGGGGAGCAAACAGGA
rnacentral:rRNA from 1 species